rnacentral:lncRNA from 1 species
GCCAGAGCCGCGGCAGAGGCAGAGGAGGGAGCUAGGAGGUGAGACCCGCUCCACCCUGCUCGCCUAGGCUCGGCGGAGGCUAAGAGCAGGGCAGCCUCCUCUGCCCGGCGCCCGCUGAGCCCCGGCAUCUGGAACUCAGGGCCCUGGCGCUCCAGGGGCGGGAACUGGCCGGGAGGACCGCGCGGGAGAGCACGGAUGGGCACCCUGGGCUCGAUUGCAUUUGACCUACCUCAGGAUAUCCAAAGGAGAACAGAGGGAAGUGAGGGGUUGAGAACUGACACCCUACAACGCCAGCACCUCAGUGGAAAGGAGGAAUAGAGCCCAGGAGGGAUGUGGGGCUUCUCACCUGGGGCGGGUGGGUUCUGCACCACCCUCCCACCCUCCUUCCUCCGUGUGGACGAUAGAGCCACAUCCAGCACCACGGACAGCUCCCGGGCGAUCCCAUGGGAGUAGAAGAGGUGUGAGCAGGUUGCCCAGCUGGUUAGCGGAAAUGCCAAGAUCCAGGCUCCUGAAUUUCAGCCUGGCCCUUUCUAUCUGUCUGAUACCUCCUUUACGAGUCUCUCUGCCUGCGUUGUGUGGAGCGGGCCUGCUGCUGGUUGGGGGAGUUUGCAGGUUGCCCCUAUGCAAAAAAGGACAGGAUGCAUGACUGGCAUGUAAGGUGUUCAGGAAAACCAGGAAAAGCCUUCAUCUCCUCGUCCUCCAGGCAGCACAAGCCAUUGUGGAAUCUCCACCAGGUGUACAGAACGGUGCCUCUGCGUCCUGCCACUCAGGACCUCUCAAGUCCCCGAUGUGAUGGCUCCUCAGCAUGAUCAGGAGAAAUUCCAUGAUCUUGCUUAUUCCUGUCUUGGGAAGUCCUUCUCCAUGUCUAACCAAGAUCUAUAUGGCUAUAGCACCAGCUCUUUGGCUCUUGGCUUGGCAUGGCUAAGUUGGGAGACCAAAAAGAAGAAUGUACUUCAUCUGGUUGGGCUGGAUUCCCUCUGAUAAGCCUUCCCAGUUGACUGAAAGAUGAGGCUAGGCUCUAGCAAGUUGAAGUCAAACCAGCUCCUUCAAGAAGCUUUGAGCAGAAUGAAGUGGGGAGGACCCAGCUUCCAGCCCAGGAAGCCCACUGUACCUGGAGCCAUCUGGGAUAAGACUUUGACCCAUGACUCCCAUAUCCACAGCCUGUCCAUCCUAGCCCAUCCCAGUUUAUCCUGUAUCAUUUGAGCUGGGAUUCCCACAUCCUCUGAGUUGGAAGUCCCAUCUCAAGUCUUCAAUAAAGACUCUUGAAUAUUGAAUCACA